rnacentral:rRNA from 1 species
GAUGAACGCUGGCGGCGCGCCUAACACAUGCAAGUCGAACGAUUAAAGCACCUUCGGGUGUGUAUAAAGUGGCGAACGGCUGAGUAACACGUGGGCAACCUGCCCCUUUCAUUGGGAUAGCCACGGGAAACCGUGGAUAACACCGAAUACUUCGAGACUUCCGCAUGGAAGACUCGAGAAAGCUCCGGCGGAGAGGGAUGGGCCCGCGGCCUGUUAGCUUGUUGGUGGGGUAACGGCCUACCAAGGCAAUGAUGGGUAGCUGGGUUGAGAGACCGACCAGCCAGAUUGGGACUGAGACACGGCCCAGACUCCUACGGGAGGCAGCAGUGGGGAAUCUUGCACAAUGGGCGAAAGCCUGAUGCAGUGACGCCGCGUGCGGGAUGAAGGCCUUCGGGUUGUAAACCGCUUUCAGCAGGGACGAGGCGAAAGUGACGGUACCUGCAGAAGAAGCCCCGGCUAACUACGUG